rnacentral:tRNA from 1 species
GAGAGGAUAGUUCAAAGGUAGAACGUUGGUUUCCAAAACCUAAGAUGAGGGUUCAAGUCCUUCUUCUCUCG